UGAUAUUAAUUUUUUUCAAAAAUGUGCGACUAAUCGAAAAAAAUAAAACCAUUUAACGAAGGAGAUAAUGACUUAUGAAAACGACCAAAUCAGUCAUUACAAUUUUAUUACUCUAGAAGGACUUUGAGCACUGUAGAAAUUUACAGUAGUUUGAGUCCUGUUUACGUUAAAUGGGAUUCUAGCAA
rfam:Listeria monocytogenes EGD-e, complete genome